rnacentral:rRNA from 1 species
AUGUUUCGACGUUCCUCCGACGCCAUCACAGGGACUGGACUCUCUGCUAGUGCUCAUGAUCCUACUUUGUUUAUUCACACUUCUCAUGCUCGCACUCUUUUGCUACUUUGUGUUGAUGACAUGAUUAUCACAAGGGAUGACCACCAAUUCAUUGAUUUUGUCAAGAGCCGCCUAAAUGAGCAAUUCAUUGAUUUUGUCAAGAGCCGCCUAAAUGAGCAAUUCUUGAUGCCUGAUUUGGGUUCUCUUCACUACUUUCUAGGACUUGAGAUCAUUUCUUCCCUGAAGGCACUUAUUCCAAGAUCUUCCGCCUCACUGAUCAGUGCACGGUUGACACUCCUAUGGAGUUUGGUCUUCAUCUUCGUCCUAUUGAGGGUGAACCCCUUGCGGAUCCCGCUCACUACCAUCAUCUUGUCGGGAGCCUUGUCUAUCUAG